GACGGAGGGGGCAAGCGUUGUCCGGAAUCACUGGGCGUAAAGCGCACGUAGGCGGGACGGUGCGUCGGUGCUGAAAGCGCCAGGCUUAACCUGGCGAGGCGUGCCGAUACGACCGACCUCGAGGCAGACAGAGGGUGGCGGAAUUCCGGGUGUAGUGGUGAAAUGCGUAGAGAUCCGGAGGAACGCCGGUGGUGCAGACGGCCACCUGGGCCUGACCUGACGCUGAGGUGCGAAAGCGUGGGGAGCGAACCGG
rnacentral:rRNA from 1 species